AACGGUCUAUACCUGCGGUACCUGCGGAGGGAUCAUUAUUGAAUGUCAGUACAAAAGUACUAUGGCACCCUGUUUUGUCCCAACUGUAGUGAUAAUGCAUCAUAAGAGAUUGACUGAAUGUGUGCUUGGAUAAUAAAUACAACUUUUAACAAUGGAUCUCU
rnacentral:misc_RNA from 1 species